rnacentral:tRNA from 1 species
AAUGAAUUGCCUGACGAAAAGGGUUACCUUGAUAGGGUAAAUCAUAAAGUUUAUACUUUAUUCAUUA